rnacentral:rRNA from 1 species
AUUGAACGCUGGCGGCAGGCCUAACACAUGCAAGUCGAACGAGUGGCGGACGGGUGAGUAAUAUGUGGGAAAGUGCCUGGUGGAGGGGGAUAACUACUGGAAACGGUAGCUAAUACCGCAUACCAUCAGAUGUGCCCAGAGGGGAUUAGCUAGUUGGGGGGGUAACGGCUCACCAAGGCCACGAUCCCUAGCUGGUCUGAGAGGAUGACCAGCCCCACUGGAACUGAGACACGGUCCAGACUCCUACGGGAGGCAGCAGUGGGGAAUAUUGCACAAUGGGCGCAAGCCUGAUGCAGCCAUGCCGCGUGUAUGAUGAAGGCCUUCGGGUUGUAAAGUACUUUCAGCGGGGAGGCGUUACCCGCAGAAGAAGCACCGGCUAACUCCGUGCCAGCAGCCGCGGUAAUUC